CCUGUGCACAGGCUGCAGGGGACAGCCCAAGCACUAACAGUUGUCUUCCUUUGUGAACUGCUAAGACAAGAGCGUUUAAGAUAAAUAGUGUCAACAAGAAUACCUUCUCACAGUCUCCUUUCGGUUCCCAAAGACAACAUUUCCUCAUGGGGUUUUAGAUUACAGCAAGGAGACCCUAACAUCUUCCCCCUUUUCACUUUUUUCUUUUUCUUUUGUGGUGACAGCGGCGGCGGAGGGUGUCGCUAAUUUAAUUUGUACCUCGUCCCAGAGAGGAACUGUUAUCCUGAAGAAGGGGGCUGUUCAGCAGGGAUGAACUCUGACCUCCAGGAAUGCAUAAAACUGAACAUGCUGCCCAAAGGAGUCCAGAUAAGUCAAGAGCCAAAUAGCUGGAUUUGCAUACUUAACUAUCACAUAUACAAAAGAAGCCCUGCUACAUAAACCUCUCUGGGAUCCAGCUAUACAUCUAGAGGAAAAUAAAAUCAACAGUGAAAACCCAUUAAAGGCGUGCAACUCCAGGCAUCAUAUCAAUAUGAAGUGAAGGACAGAGCCCACAAGAGGGCAUGAGAUUGCAGCCAGAUGGUCCAUUGAUUAGCGAAAGAAGUUACCCCGGUGGUAGGUUCACACCAGUCUUCUUGUAUUAAGAAAGCAAGAAGUUGGUGUUACACAUCUCCAGUUAACCUACGAGCGCCAAAAUACACCUUAGUUGUUGUUUUUGUCUCUCGCUCUGUAGCAGAAGCAAAAACAAUGCAUGCCUAAAUACUGGAGUGAAUGCCUGAGAUGGUUAGGGAUAGCUUCUUUUAACUUGUUGGCCAUGUGGAAAAUUAUUAAACCACAAAAAAUAUGAUUUGUUACAGUCUAGGAAGAUGCAGAAUACAUAAUGUUUUUUAAUGACUAUGACAAGUAAUACUUGUAUAGUUAAAAAAACAAAACGAAAGACGCACAUACCGUACAGAAUGGAUCGACCUGCUGUGUACUGAUUACUGAGGAAUCUGACUGAGGAAGCGGGAGAAGAUAAAGAGGAGAAGAACGUCCACACUGUGGCGAAAUCCAUUCACGCUAUCUCAACGUCACAUUCUACAGGUACAAUAAAACAUUUUCUUGUCAGCAAGUUCACAGAGCCUGUUGUGCUCGGGUGUAUUGUAACCAGGAGGUCACCGGUUCAAAUCCCACCUCAGCCACUGACUCAUUGUGUGACCCUGAGCAAGUCACUUAACCUCCUUGUGCUCCGUCUUUCAGGUGAGACGUAAUUGUAAGUGACUCUGCAGCUGAUGCAUAGUUCACACACCCUCUCUGUAAGUCGCCUUGGAUAAAGG